AUUCUACAAUCCCACGCAUCUACUGAUUCCGUGAAGUCGUCAACAAAUACUUCAAAAUGAAGAGACAUGCUGCUACACCUAUCACUUCAUUUUUUUCCAAAAGGAGCAGAGAAGAGUCUGAGGGAGAGUCACACUCAAGUGCAGAUAUAGGUUCGCCAUCACAAAACUGUGUAACAGAAGACCCUUGUGGGGCCCAGAUGCUUCUGGUAAUCAGUGGUGACCAUUAAUAGUUGAAUUAAGUUAAGUGACCAUUGAUAAUCUAGCGGAAAGAGUUAUAUGUCGUUGUGCACAAGUGUUUCAGUUUGCGUUUGCAAACUCUGCCACUAUUCAAACUGAUGGCUGGGCUGCUGACUGGUUGCUUCUCUUGAUCCACUGCACGACUCGAUGAUGGACUAGACUUACAACCUACUGCUCGUGUCCUCUCUUAUCAUCUUCAGUUGCUAGAGAGAAACAAUCACAAUAAUAAUUCAACUGCCGCUUUGUGUAACUAGAAACAUUAAGAGACAACCAACCUUUGUAUUUAAGACAGACUCAUCUACAUUAGAUUCAUUUGAGAACUGACACUUGAUGUCUCCCAUAAUACAUUUGCAAGACGUUUUAGCUUA